UACGGAGGGGGCUAGCGUUGUUCGGAAUUACUGGGCGUAAAGCGCACGUAGGCGGCUUUGCAAGUCAGAGGUGAAAGCCCGGGGCUCAACCCCGGAAUUGCCUUUGAGACUGCAUCGCUAGAAUUGUGGAGAGGUAAGUGGAAUUCCGAGUGUAGAGGUGAAAUUCGUAGAUAUUCGGAAGAACACCAGUGGCGAAGGCGACUCUUUGGUCUGUAACUGACGCUGAGGCACGAAGGCCAGGGGAGCAAACGGG
rnacentral:rRNA from 1 species